UACGAAGGGUGCAAACGUUGCUCGGAAUUAUUGGGCGUAAAGCGCACGUAGGCGGCUUUGCAAGUCGGAUGUGAAAUCCCACGGCUCAACCGUGGAAGUGCAUUCGAAACUGCAGGGCUAGAGUCCUGGAGAGGAAGGUGGAAUGCUUGGUGUAGAGGUGAAAUUCGUAGAUAUCAAGCGGAACACCGGUGGCGAAGGCGACCUUCUGGACAGUGACUGACGCUGAGACGCGAAAGCGUGGGGAGCAAACAGG
rnacentral:rRNA from 1 species